GCGAAUGUCAGCGUGAGGCCGGGAAGCAGGUGGCAGCAUAUGGCCCCUGGGGCAUUCCAGCACUCAGGGCCCGGUGGCUCUACCAUGGGGCCCAGCCCCAGCAGCGUGCCCUCCAGCCAGCCUGGCACAGCACUGGCCCGUGGGCAUGUGGAGCUACGAAGAGGCGGCCUUCCGACAUUUUCCGUGUUAAAAUCAGAUGAGGAAAUCAAAGACUAUCAAGCAAGGCACCAACCUUCUUAAAGCCAUGUAGCCAAAAUGUGGUAACCCAGGAUAUAGGAUUCCAGGCAAACAGGAUGCUUAAUACUUAACUACUGUGCUAAGCUGUCACCAGAAAACUGUAUUCAGCUUUCUUCAUCAGAAACAGUUUUCCAUCCUAUCCCUUUUUCAUAAAAUUCAAUUUUCUCUGAAACUUUAAGAUGACAUGAAGCAUAACCAUGCCAAAUGACUUUCUCUGGCUAAGUGGGAGGUUGAUGGGAAUGGCUCUUGCCAGUUCUCCACAUAGCACAGGCCUUUAGUCAUUGCUGAGUUCCAGUGCCCUCUACCUGGUUCUCUGAGGUUCUGCACAGUGGGUGUACUUAGAUGUGAUAAUACCCACCUUACUCCACCUCCUAUCUUCCUGUAUCUAUUCCUACUUAACAUUGGUGAAGAUGGUACUUCCCAGGAUACAGGCAUCCUCCACAGCCUUCCUCCAAGGUGUUUUCUACCUUGAACGUUUUCCAUGGUUGUGAUCUCUGGCUUCGCACAGGAAGAAGAGCUCAAGGAAGAAGUAAACAACAGCACUCUGGCCACUUCCAAAAGCAGCUCUUGGGCAAAAGUGAAACAACUGUCUGAUUUUCUAGUGUCUGGGAGUCUGAGAUGGAAGAAAAAUAAGGAAAAGGAAACUUUUCUGGACCCAUGGCUGUGCACAGGCCCUUAAACAUGCCAGGAAACAGGUUGAGGGGGCUUUCUGGGCAAUAAGAACAUAGAGUGAAGUGUUUUCUUUUUCUCUAAGGACCAAUAGGCAACUAAGUGAACAAUGACAGUGCAGAGUAAUGAGUGCUAUAAUAGAUAAUGCGUGGCACUAAGAAGACACAAAAGAAAAGUAAAUAACUCCACUGCUUAUGUAGUAUUUACUUGGGCUGGGGCCGGGGGACCAAAGCAAAACACAGGUGACUGGAAGACGGCUGGGAUGCCAACAUUGCAUUCCUGCAAGAUGGGAGCAGCAUGUGUAGACACGGAUAUGAUCCAUGAAGGAAGACAAAAUGAUACCCAAGCACAAAAACUUCUGUGGAGAGCUAAAGAAAAAUUACCUUGGGCAAUUCAUAUAGAAGGGAAAGGAGAAACAAAAAUUUUAAUGAAAUACCAUAAAAAUGUGAGCACACAGUUCAGAGUAAUGCGAUUUGAGAUCUCACCCUUGUUCUCUCACCACUGAGCCUCGUAUGGCAAGUUAAAUUCCAUCCCUGAACCUCAUUCCUUAGCCAUAAGUCAAGUUGGGUGGACAGGAUGGAUUCUGAAGUCCAUUCUGCCUCUAGUGUCAUCUGGCUCUCAGUUGGGAGAAAUGAUAACAAUAGACAGCUUCAGUUAAAUAGUCACUGUCAAAGAAAACAGAAGAGUGCUCACCUCUACAGCACAGGAGUGGAUCUUCAAAGAACAUGAAGAUUUUUUUUACCCAAGAUAAAAGAGUUCCUGAGGAUUACUGUGCAUUUCAUUUCUAAAAAUUUUAAUUUUCUUAACAAGUCUUCAUUGAUCAUCUAUUAUGACCAAGUCAUGGGAAUGCACAUCUGAACUGGUAUGAACUCUGCCUUUAGGGAACUCACAAACUAUUAAGGGAGAUAGCACACUUGGGCCACCAAAUAAGAUAGAAACAAGAUAAAAAGUCACAUGUUUUGCAAAAGAAGAAUAAACAGAUUCAGAAAAGAUGAAAUGGCAGAAAUGGUGAGAGCUAGAUAAGAAACAAAGGGGCUGAGUCUUACACUUCCUCCCACAUUCUCAUUAUCAGCAAAGAGCUACUGGCUUCCUCCUUCACUGGGAAAAGCAAAAGGGAACUUCUGUUAGACACCAUCACCACUUCUACACAUUGCCAUGUCAUUACCCCUUACUGCAGAUGGCCACUGCACAUCCCUGUCCAAGAUUCCAUUCUCUCUUUCUUUCUGGAGACAUUUCUCGAGCAAUUAUCCCCUCUCUGUCCUGCAUCAUUAAGUUUUCUCUCUUUCUGGAUUAGACUGAUUAGCAUACACACAUUCUUUGUGUGUGUGUGUGUGUGUGUGUGUGUGUGUGUGUGUCUUUUGACUUCAUUUUCCUCUCCAGCAUACACUGUAUUCCUUUUCUUCGUGUUAUAAAACUUAUAAGAAUUGUCCCUACUUGGUAUCUCAAAAAGAAUUCUGAAUAUAUUACGGUCAGGUUUCUCCUUUCAUUACUAAAAAUUAUUUUGUCAAAACCAUUAUGGACAUGUUCUUUGAUAGAUACCUUUUUAGUUCUCAUCUUCAGCAUCCUUCAACUAUUUGCAGCAUUUGGACACCAUUGAUGGCUCCUACUUGCCCCUUUCUUCACUUGGCUUUCAGUGUACCACACACCUGGUUUUCCCUCCACCAUUCUGCUCUCUCCUUCUUAGUAUCCUGUCCUAUUUCUCCUCAUCAUCUGACCUCUACACUAAGUCUUAGGACUCACUUUAUUACUUUAUCCUUGGAUCACUUUAUAUUGCUGUCCACGCUCCCUCCUUUGAUGCUCUCAUUCCACCUUAUGGCUUAAAACUCAUCUUUUUGUUGAUGACUCCAGUCUGCAGCCCCAUCUCCUGUUAUCCUACAGCUCAGAUGAUAGGGUUGCCAGAUUUAACAACUAAAAAUAUAGAUGCCAAUAAAAUGGGAGUUUCAUUUGAAAUUUCCU